GUGUCAGCAGCCGCGGUAAUACGUAGGCAGCGAGCGUUGUUCGGAGUUACUGGGCGUAAAGGGUGCGCAGGCGGUGGAGCAAGUCUGUUGUGAAAUCUCCCGGCUUAACCGGGAGGGUGCGGCGGAAACUGUUCUGCUGGAGUGAGGGAGAGGCAAGCGGAAUUCCUGGUGUAGCGGUGAAAUGCGUAGAUAUCAGGAGGAACACCCGUGGUGCAGACGGCUUGCUGGACCUCCACUGACGCUGAGGCACGAAAGCGUGGGGAGCAAACAGGAUUAGAUACCCCAGUAGUCC
rnacentral:rRNA from 1 species